rnacentral:misc_RNA from 1 species
CCCAAAUUCUCUCCGCUCAAAAUUCUUCCCUUCGACAAGCGUUAAAACCAGAAAAACAAAUCACAAUCAAUUAAUCGCUACGACGUCGGCACCGAUCGAUCUCAGAAAAUGGCUACGUUUGAGCUUUACAGAAGAUCAACGAUCGGUAUGUGCUUGACGGAGACCCUGGAUGAGAUGGUUCAAAGUGGUACUCUCAGCCCAGAGCUAGCUAUCCAGGUUCUUGUUCAGUUUGACAAGUCUAUGACUGAAGCUUUGGAAAGUCAAGUUAAGAGCAAAGUUACCAUUAAGGUAAUUUCUUUAGUUUUGUUAUAUUUUUGGGCUAUAUAUUCCUUGUUCGUUUAUGCGAGGAUUACUUGGAAUUUUGAAUUGUGAGAUUAUGCAAUUAAUUUAUUUUUAGUGGUUUUGUUAAAAAAAAAAAAUCUGAAUCAUUUGGCUUGCAAUAUUAAAAAGUCAAAACUCUCAACGCCACAUACUCGUCUGGUAAAAUUAAUUUUAAAAAAUUCCUUUAGUCAGUUACCAUGGAUAUUCUAAGUUCACAAGAGAAACUUUUAGUUUUAAUCUCAAACUGGAAAUAUCCAUAUCAAUAUUUCAUAUGGAUGUAUGUAGGAUUCACAAAAACAGAAUUCAAUUGAAUGUGGCAAGGUUUCUUUUUCCUGUUCUGAAAUUCUAUUAUCAAUUCUAUUGUCCUCCUUGAGUUUACAGUAGUUUUUAGUGCGUCUUCAUCUGCAUAUGAUUCUUUAUUGCCUUGUACUCACUACUAAUCAAAUUGUGGUUGUGUGUCUCUGUGUGUGUGUUUUAGUGUAUGUGUUAAUUUCAGUAAAUGUUUGAAGUAUAUGCAGCUAACUCAUCUAAGUUUUACAGUUUCUCACUCUGAAAAGCAUUGUGCAUAUGCUAAAUUGUGGAGGAAUUCUUGUUGCCCUAUAGACUGUGGACCUUGUAGGAGCAUCAAAACAAUGUUGAAUGUAUAUACUUUAGUGAUUUGGAUAAAGUGAAGUGAUAGAACAUUAAGUGAGGCUGUGCAGCUGGGAGAAAAAAAAUGAUUUGUUGUGUGCCACUUGGACAGUUUAAUUAUUUGGGAGGGAUCUCUCUGUUUUCUUUUGCCCCAGGGCGGCCCGCUGGGGAUAUGUAUCUAUUAUCAAAGUUUAGUUGCUUUGCAUGAGCAUGGCAUCCGGAAAGGCUGAUACAUUGUGAUUGUAUGUGCUACAGGGACAUUUGCACACCUACAGAUUCUGCGACAAUGUUUGGACUUUCAUUCUACAGGAUGCAGUGUUUAAGAAUGAAGAUUCAGUGGAGAAUGUUGGUCGGGUUAAAAUAGUGGCUUGUGACUCAAAGCUACUCACGCAAUGAAGUUUUAGGAAUCCAUUUGUCUUGUGGUAGUAGAGGUGGAUGGCAGCAAGGAAGAAACCUGAGUUUUAGCUACCAUGGAAGAUUGAAUAUUAGUUAUAUAGCUAUCAGCCUUCGUAACUAUUUUUAUUUGAUGAUAUCAUGAUACAUUUGAUGAUGGUGCAUCCAGUGAUCAAUGUAGGAUGAUUAAUGUUAUCCUUCUUUGUUCAUUUUAUUCCUUGUCUUGAGAACAUGAAACACUUACGGAGAUGGACACAACUUAGUGAUAAAAUCUUGAAAACCACGAAUUAUACAAUGUUGUGCACAUUCUGACAUGCUAAUAGUUUGUAUGCACACCCUUGUAUUGAUUUGCGGAUGUCAGUGUAUGGAAGCAACAUUUCCCUGGAGAUUUUUCAGGCAGGUAUCUGUAUUACAUGAAAU